CAGACUGACAGGCAAAUAAGCCAGCUCGUGGAAGGGGCCUCUGGGUGGCAGCUCUGGGCUAUUGGGUGUUGGACAACUAUAGGCAAAACUGAAAUGGAACAGGGGCAGAAAGUAGCACACUGUUACGCUACGCAACCGUUGCUUUCUCAUGAUCUUUAGGAAUUUUACUGGGAUAAUUGUCCAAAUGAAAUUCGAAGCAUCUAUCCAAAUGUCUACAGAUGCACGGCUGGUGGCGUGGCUCAGACGGAGCAAGGGUUACAUCAAGGCUGUUCUCUGGACCGUGCAAACAGUCUAGACCAAUGACCUGCAGCAUCAUGCCCUUUGAAGAAGAGGCAAGUUCGGUCAUGAUGAAGAAAAAUCAAGGCGUACCCCUUUUAACAAUAGGGAGCAGCUCGAGGCUGCAAAGAGAACUGGUUGUUAAACAUUUACU